rnacentral:rRNA from 1 species
AGCUCUUUGUGUUUAAUAGGGAGUCCCACCUGCCCAAUGUUUCGAUCAAUGGCCGCAGUACUCUGACUGUGCAAAGGUAGCGUAAUCAGUUGGCUUUUAAUUGAAGUCUUGUAUGAAUGAGGAAACGGGGUAGAGCUGUCUCUAGGAAAAUAUAUUGAAAUUACUUAAGAGGUGAAAAUUCCUCUAAUAGAAAAAAGACGAGAAGACCCUAAGAGUUUUUACUAAAAAGGACAUAUCCUUUAAGUUUUAGCUGGGGCGGCUAAGAAGCAAUAUUAACCUUCUUAUUCUACAUGCCAAAAAAUUUCGAAUGUGUAAACUACCUUAGGGAUAACAGCAUAAUCAAUACAUUGGUUUGUGACCUCGAUGUUGGACUAGGAAUAUUAUUGACUAGCCGUUAAAUAAUAGUGUUCUGUUCGAACUUUAUAUCC